rnacentral:misc_RNA from 1 species
GAUGAAGAACGCAGCGAAAUGCGAUAAGUAAUGUGAAUUGCAGAAUUCCGUGAAUCAUCGAAUCUUUGAACGCACAUUGCGCCCCCUGGCAUUCCGGGGGGCAUGCCUGUCCGAGCGUCAUUUCUGCCCUCCAGCCCGGCUGGGUGUUGGGCGCUGUCCCCCCGGGGACACGCCCCAAAGGCAGUGGCGGCGCCGCGUCGGGUCCUCGAGCGUAUGGGGCUUUGUCACCCGCUCGGGACGGACUCGUCGGCGCUGGUCUUCCUCCAGGCGACCCUUCGGGACUCGUCUUCCUUCGGUUGACCUCGGAUCAGGUAGGGUUACCCGCUGAACUUAAGCAUAUCAAUAAGCGGAGGA